rnacentral:rRNA from 1 species
UACAGAGAUGGCGAGCGUUACUCGGAUUUAUUGGGUGUAAAGGGCAGGUAGGUGGCCCGUCAAGUUGGAAGUGAAAUCCUGCAGCUUAACUGCAGAACUGCUUCCAAAACUGACGGGAUUGAGACCAGAAGAGGAGAGCGGAAUUCCCGGUGUAAGGGUGAAAUCUGUAGAUAUCGGGAGGAACACCAGUGGCGAAAGCGGCUCUCUGGUCUGGUUCUGACGCUAAGCUGCGAAAGCUCGGGGAG